rnacentral:rRNA from 1 species
AUACGUAGGUGGCGAGCGUUGUCCGGAUUUACCGGGUGUAAAGGGCGAGUAGGCGGGCUUGCAAGUCAGAUGUGAAAUACCGAGGCUCAACUUCGGGGCUGCAUUUGAAACUGCGAGUCUUGAGUGAUGGAGAGGCAGGCGGAAUUCCCAGUGUAGCGGUAAAAUGCAUAGAUAUUGGGAAGAACACCAGUGGCGAAGGCGGCCUGCUGGACAUUAACUGACGCUGAGGAGCGAAAGUGUGGGGAGCAAACAGGAUUAGAUACCCUGGUAGUCCACACCGUAAACGAUGGAUACUAGGUGUGCGGGGACGGACCCCCUGCGUGCCGCAGUUAACACAAUAAGUAUCCCACCUGGGGAGUACGAUCGCAAGAUUGAAACUCAAAUGAAUUGACGGGG